rnacentral:rRNA from 1 species
GAUGAACGCUAGCGACAGGCUUAACACAUGCAAGUCGAGGGGCAGCAUAAAAGUAGCAAUACUUUGGUGGCGACCGGCGCACGGGUGAGUAACGCGUAUGCAACCUACCUAUCAGAGGGGGAGUAACCCGGCGAAAGUCGGACUAAUACCGCAUAAAACAAGGGGCGACCGCAUGGUGAUAUUUGUUAAAAUUUAAUUGCUGAUAGAUGGGCAUGCGUUCCAUUAGGUAGUUGGAGAGGUAACGGCUCACCAAGCCUACGAUGGAUAGGGGAACUGAGAGGUUGGUCCCCCACACUGGUACUGAGACACGGACCAGACUCCUACGGGAGGCAGCAGUGAGGAAUAUUGGUCAAUGGGCGAGAGCCUGAACCAGCCAAGUCGCGUGAAGGAAGAAGGAUCUAUGGUUCGUAAACUUCUUUUGCAGGGGAAUAAAGUGCAGGACGUGUCCUGUUUUGUAUGUACCCUGAGAAUAAGGAUCGGCUAACUCCGUGCCAGCAGCCGCGGUAAACACG